UACGGGGGGGGCAAGCGUUGUUCGGAAUUACUGGGCGUAAAGGGCGCGUAGGCGGUUCGUUAAGUCGGAUGUGAAAACUCUGGGCUCAACCCAGAGCCUGCAUCCGAAACUGGCGGGCUAGAGUUCGGUAGGGGAGACUGGAAUUCCUGGUGUAGCGGUGAAAUGCGCAGAUAUCAGGAGGAACACCGAUGGCGAAGGCAGGUCUCUGGGCCGAUACUGACGCUGAGGAGCGAAAGCGUGGGGAGCGAACAGG
rnacentral:rRNA from 1 species